ensembl:lncRNA
AAAAAAAAAAAAAAAACAACAACUGAGUAUGUAGAGAGAGUUUGAUCUAUAUGUUACAAGCUCCAAUCACAAGCCUAAUUCAAAUUGGCAGAGGAAUUUGGUAUUAUAUUACGCUAUUUAGUAUAAACUGAAGGAGGACCUGAUGAGUAGUGGUUGGCAUCUCCCUGUGUGGCAUCAUUCUCCCUGCUACUCACGAAGAACCAGUUUUCAAACUAAUUAGCUAGAAAGAGGAGGUGUGUGAUGAAUCUACAAAUUGGCCAGCUCCCAUGUCUGAAGUUCAAGUCUCAAGGGGAAAGCAUGGAUAUGCGGCACUAGAACAUCCUGAAGGCUUAGAAAUUGAAGGUAAAAUCAAACGGAAUAGUUUACAAGAAUGCAUGAUUCUUCUUUCGGUCUUCCAGUUCUUUGGGAAUGGCUUAUCGUUUUAAGCCACCUGGGACAGCAGAUGGUGCCACCAUACUGUUAACUUAGUUAUUUUCCUACUCACUUCUACCUGGUGUUUUGUCUCACAAGAGCCUGGGACGCUUACGUGUAAAACACAAUUGGGCUUUUCAAGGGUUUUAGGGGAAGAUGGCCUGGGCUGCCUUUAACAUGUCUAUAACCAGUUGCAUGUGAAGAAGAUAUGCAAGUAUUUUCCAUUUGUAUGACCGAAGUACACAGUAAAAAUACAUGAGAUUAACAAAGACAGAAUUAACUUACCAUGUUAAGGAUCAGGCAGGAGGUUUGAAGAAAUUGUUAUUUCCUCAGGCCUUUUGAAUUGUGUUGAGGCACUGCUCCUGCAGGCCUGGAGGCUGUGUGGUCUAUGUGCUAUUAUUGACCAGCGGCUGCAAUUUAAAGACUUGAAGCUGCUGUUGCUUUCUUGCAAUGAAUAUGAGAUCAAACCCUCCUUGAAUUCCCUCAUGAUAAUCAUGAUGCAUAACUUUGUCAAAUGACAGACUUUAAAGAAAUACGUCAUACAUUUGGGCAACAUGAGUAAAUGAUCUGUUGCCUGCAGCUAGUUUACUAUGUAGUUUUGUUAUUGUUGCAUGAGGGAGAUUAGCAGAAGUGAGUGUGACUCUGCUAUGUUUUGCUAUCUGUCUCAGCUGCCUGUUAGCCCAAGGCUGAAGAUUUAUCAAGUUAAUAUUUAAAGGCCCAAGAGGCUUGCAUCCCAAGUGCAUUUUUGAGCUUCUGAUGCCCUGUAUUCCAUUUCAAUCUUGACGGUUAGGAGAGAGAAAUUUGGGGCCUGAGGGCUUUCUGAAAUGGAACAAGCUCAAAGUGUGCAGUAUCUCCUCCUCUGGAGUACUGGGUAUGUGGAAUGUUUUCCUUCCAAAGCUAUAUAUAUUUCCAGAGUACAUUCAAAAUAUGCUUUCCAUCUCUAACCAGAAAGCUUUCUGCAGCAACAUUCUAAUUGUAAUUAUUUCACUGUUGGCAGCUGCAAUUUAAAAUGGCAGGCUAAGGAAGAAAGACCUCUGUAAUGUUAUAAUUCUCAUAAAGGGUCAUUAACAUUUGAUUUAGACGUUGUUUAUGAAAAAAUAUUAGUCUUCUCAGCUUUCAGUAUUUUUGAGGAUAUUUGAGAGGCAAUUAUGCUUACUUGUUGGUUAUUUUACAUCAAAAAAUAUUAAAUACUCCACACAAGUAAGAUUUUUAUGCUCUUCAUUUGGGAAUGUAGAGAGGGCAAGGUACUAAACAUUCUGAGACUCUUUUCCUAAAGAUAUCCAUAUUAUUAUAUUUACAUUUCAUCUGCCAGUCAUGAUUACAAGAUGAAUAUGUUUGAAUUCACCUUCACAUCCAGUGAAAUUCUGACCGGUUUACUUACACUGAGUAGGACAAACUUGUGUCUGAGAUACCAUUGAAGACACAGAUGGUGUGAAUAAAAGGUCAGGAUCAAACA